GGUGUCGCGGAAUGUGGUGUUUAGGAGGACCGUGCGCGUCUGUCCGGUAUCGUCCAAGUCUCCAUGAAUGGGGCCAGCAACCCAGAGAGGGUGUCAGGCCCGUAGGACUGAGCCGCGACGGCGUAUUGGGUCUCUCCUUAGAGUCGGGUUGCUUGAGAGUGCAGCCCUAAGUGGGAGGUAAACUCCUUCUAAGGCUAAAUACGGCCACGAGACCGAUAGCGAACAAGUACCGCGAGGGAAAGUUGAAAAGAACUUUGAAGAGAGAGUUCAAUAGUGCGUGAAACCGUUCAGGGGGUUAAACGGGUGGGCCCUCGAAGGUCGAACGCUCCCUACUCGCGUCUCCGCUCGUCGGUCCGUGCCGCUUUUCCGAUCUCGCUACGGGACGGAGCGGUGCGGUAACUUUUGGCGAGCGGGGGCGUUUAGUUAGGGGGCCAGUAGGACUCCGCAACCGUCUGGAGAGUCGUCAGAAGGGCUCUGGUAGAAAGCCUCCUCGCGGGGUGGACUCCGGGGUUCCGGGCGAUCUCUCCGGCCGUGAACCGGCAUUCCACUCGGCUGGCGUCCGUGACGAGCCUUUCCUCCUUUCACGAGGGGGGAGGGUUGUCGGUUGCGGGCGUCACCGGGGGACGCUAGCGGAGAGUAGAGUCGGGUCCCACCCGACCCGUCUUGAAACACGGACCAAGGAGUCUAACAUGUGCGCGAGUCGUCGG
rnacentral:rRNA from 1 species